GAUGAACGCUGGCGGCGUGCCUAAUACAUGCAAGUCGAGCGAACGGACGAGAAGCUUGCUUCUCUGAUGUUAGCGGCGGACGGGUGAGUAACACGUGGAUAACCUACCUAUAAGACUGGGAUAACUUCGGGAAACCGGAGCUAAUACAGGAUAAUAUUUUGAACCGCACGGUUCAAAAGUGAAUGACGGUCUUGCUGUCUCUUAUAGAUGGAUCCGCGCUGCAUUAGCUAGUUGGUAAGGUAACGGCUUACCAAGGCGACGAUGCAUAGCCGACCUGAGAGGGUGAUCGGCCACACUGGAACUGAGACACGGUCCAGACUCCUACGGGAGGCAGCAGUAGGGAAUCUUCCGCAAGGGGCGAAAGCCUGACGGGGCAACGCCGCGUGAGUGAUGAAGGGCUUCGGAUCGUAAAACUCUGUUAUUAGGGAAGAACAUAUGUGUAAGUAACGGUGCACAUCUUGACGGUACCGAAUCAGAAGGCCACGGCUAACUACGU
rnacentral:rRNA from 1 species